CCGUUAGAAUCCCCCGGUCACUGGGGAGUAGCCUUCCUUCAUCGUUUGAAGGAGAACGCGUCAACAUACUUGGCCUUGCAGGUCAUGGCGCGUUCGGCCGUGUCGGUUUGGCGAGACCAUUGACGCACUGCCUCGUUCUGGUCGGACGGGCGGCGGUGCGUCAUUGGUUUGUCGUCUACGUCCGACCGUGGAGUUG
rnacentral:sRNA from 19 species